CUCCAACCAUGUGACUUACCUUUUGUUGCCUCGGCAGAAGGUUAUAGGUCUUCUUAUAGCUGCUGCCGGUGGACCAUUAAACUCUUGUUAUUUUAUGUAAUCUGAGCGUCUUAUUUUAAUAAGUCAAAACUUUCAACAACGGAUCUCUUGGUUCUGGCAUCGAUGAAGAACGCAGCGAAAUGCGAUAAGUAAUGUGAAUUGCAGAAUUCAGUGAAUCAUCGAAUCUUUGAACGCACAUUGCGCCCAUUAGUAUUCUAGUGGGCAUGCCUGUUCGAGCGUCAUUUCAACCCUUAAGCCUAGCUUAGUGUUGGGAAUCUACUUCUCUUAGGAGUUGUAGUUCCUGAAAUACAACGGCGGAUUUGUAGUAUCCUCUGAGCGUAGUAAUUUUUUUCUCGCUUUUGUUAGGUGCUAUAACUCCCAGCCGCUAAACCCCCAAUUUUUUUGUGGUUGACCUCGGAUCAGGUAGGAAUACCCGCUGAACUUAAGCAUAUCAAUAAGCGGAGGA
rnacentral:rRNA from 1 species